rnacentral:rRNA from 1 species
UGAGGAAUAUUGGUCAAUGGGCGGCAGCCUGAACCAGCCAUCCCGCGUGAAGGAAGAAUGCGCUAUGCGUUGUAAACUUCUUUUUCAGGGGGAUAAAAUUUUGUAUGUAUACAGAACUGAAGGUACCCUGAGAAUAAGCAUCGGCUAACUCCGUGCCAGCAGCCGCGGUAAUACGGAGGAUGCGAGCGUUAUCCGGAUUUAUUGGGUUUAAAGGGUGCGUAGGCGGAAGAAUAAGUCAGUGGUGAAACCCUGCAGCUUAACUGUAGACUUGCCAUUGAUACUGUUUUUCUUGAGUAUGGUCAAGGCAGGCGGAAUGUGUAAUGUAGCGGUGAAAUGCUUAGAUAUUACACAGAACACCGAUAGCGAAGGCAGCUUGCUGGGCCGUUACUGACGCUGAUGCACGAAAGCGUGGGGAUCGAACAGG